UGUAGGAGUGAGCCUGCUCGCGAUAGCGGUGUAUCAGCAAAUUCUCCGGUGACUGAUUCACCGCUAUCGCGAGCAGGCUCACUCCUACA
rnacentral:antisense_RNA from 1 species